CUAACUGGAGGACCGAACCGACUAAUGUUGAAAAAUUAGCGGAUGACUUGUGGCUGGGGGUGAAAGGCCAAUCAAACCGGGAGAUAGCUGGUUCUCCCCGAAAGCUAUUUAGGUAGCGCCUCGUGAAUUCAUCUUCGGGGGUAGAGCACUGUUUCGGCUAGGGGGUCAUCCCGACUUACCAACCCGAUGCAAACUACGAAUACCGAAGAAUGUUAUCACGGGAGACACACGGCGGGUGCUAACGUCCGUCGUGAAGAGGGAAACAACCCAGACCGCCAGCUAAGGUCCCAAAGUCAUGGUUAAGUGGGAAACGAUGUGGGAAGGCCCAGACAGCCAGGAUGUUGGCUUAGAAGCAGCCAUCAUUUAAAGAAAGCGUAAUAGCUCACUGGUCGAGUCGGCCUGCGCGGAAGAUGUAACGGGGCUAAACCAUGCACCGAAGCUGCGGCAGCGACACUAUGUGUUGUUGGGUAGGGGAGCGUUCUGUAAGCCGUUGAAGGUGGCCUGUGAGGGUUGCUGGAGGUAUCAGAAGUGCGAAUGCUGACAUAAGUAACGAUAAUGCGGGUGAAAAACCCGCACGCCGGAAGACCAAGGGUUCCUGUCCAACGUUAAUCGGGGCAGGGUGAGUCGACCCCUAAGGCGAGGCCGAAAGGCGUAGUCGAUGGGAAACAGGUUAAUAUUCCUGUACUUGGUGUUACUGCGAAGGGGGGACGGAGAAGGCUAUGUUGGCCGGGCGACGGUUGUCCCGGUUUAAGCAUGUAGGCGGAUGUUCCAGGUAAAUCCGGAACGUCACUAACGCUGAGGUGUGAUGACGAGGCACUACGGUGCUGAAGUGACAAAUGCCCUGCUUCCAGGAAAAGCCUCUAAGCAUCAGGUAACAUCAAAUCGUACCCCAAACCGACACAGGUGGUCAGGUAGAGAAUACCAAGGCGCUUGAGAGAACUCGGGUGAAGGAACUAGGCAAAAUGGUGCCGUAACUUCGGGAGAAGGCACGCUGAUGGUAAGUGAAGUGACUUGCUCAUGGAGCUGAAAUCAGUCGAAGAUACCAGCUGGCUGCAACUGUUUAUUAAAAACACAGCACUGUGCAAACACGAAAGUGGACGUAUACGGUGUGACGCCUGCCCGGUGCCGGAAGGUUAAUUGAUGGGGUUAUCCUCGCGGAGAAGCUCUUGAUCGAAGCCCCGGUAAACGGCGGCCGUAACUAUAACGGUCCUAAGGUAGCGAAAUUCCUUGUCGGGUAAGUUCCGACCUGCACGAAUGGCGUAAUGAUGGCCAGGCUGUCUCCACCCGAGACUCAGUGAAAUUGAACUCGCUGUGAAGAUGCAGUGUACCCGCGGCAAGACGGAAAGACCCCGUGAACCUUUACUAUAGCUUGACACUGAACACUGGUCCUUGAUGUGUAGGAUAGGUGGGAGGCUUUGAAGUGUGGACGCCAGUCUGCAUGGAGCCAUCCUUGAAAUACCACCCUUUAAUGGCUGGUGUUCUAACGUGGGCCCGUGAUCCGGGUUGCGGACAGUGUCUGGUGGGUAGUUUGACUGGGGCGGUCUCCUCCUAAAGAGUAACGGAGGAGCACGAAGGUCAGCUAAUCCUGGUCGGACAUCAGGAGGUUAGUGCAAUGGCAUAAGCUGGC
rnacentral:rRNA from 1 species